rnacentral:rRNA from 1 species
UACGAAGGGGGCUAGCGUUGCUCGGAAUUACUGGGCGUAAAGGGCGCGUAGGCGGCACUGUUAGUCAGGCGUGAAAGUCCUGGGCUCGAACCUGGGAACUGCGCUUGAUACGGCAGAGCUAGAGGAUGGAAGAGGGUCGCGGAAUUCCCAGUGUAGAGGUGAAAUUCGUAGAUAUUGGGAAGAACACCGGUGGCGAAGGCGGCGACCUGGUCCAUUACUGACGCUGAGGCGCGACAGCGUGGGGAGCAAACAGG